UAAGAGCUGCAGAAGGAACAUCCCACUUGCGUCUGCUGACACAAAAGAAUGCUGUGGCUGGGAGAUCUUAUCGAGCCUUCCUGUGCCACAGCAACAGAGCUCCAGUUGUGUCUUGUAAGAAUUGGUCAUUGUUUCAUGGGGACGACUGGCUCCUUUGGGUGGGAUCUGAUGGCAUCUCAUGGAGUUGAGGUUGUCUGCCAACGCUAACUGGCCAGCUCUGACAGGAGGUGCGUGGCCCAGGAGGAGCCAUCAGGCCAGUUCUCUGGGAUACUGCUGUGUCUCCAGCUCUGCAGUUUGCUCUGCAUCACUCAGCGGCAGACGGAGAGGCAGACACGAGCCCCUUGUGAGCCCUCCUCCUUACCGUCAUCCCACAAUGCUCUGAAAUAAGGAGGCAAAUGGCUGAGGUCCCCUCAGUUGUGAGUAUCUUGCUUCCUUCCCCAAUGCCUCUUCAAACCACUUUGUCAAAAACAACAACAACAACAAAACAAAAACAAAAACAAACAGAUUCUUGUGUUCAUGAUACUAAAACAAAAUUGCGUAAGGUCUGUUGCUUAAGAUUAAGCACUGGCCGGGCACGGUGGCUCAUGCCUGUAAUCCCAGCACUUUGGGAGGCUGAGGCGGGUGGAUCACGAGGUCAAGAGAUCGAGACCAUCCUGGCUAAUACUGUGAAACCCUGUCUCUACUAAAAAUACAAAAAAUUAGCCGGGCGCGGUGGCAGGCGCCUGUAGUCCCAGCUACUCGGGAGACUGAGGCGGGAGAAUGGCGUGAACCCGGGAGGCGGAGCUUGCAGUGAACUGAGAUCACGCCAUUCCACUCCAGCCUGGGUGACAGAGCAAGACUCCGUCUCAAAAAAAAAAAAAAAAAAAAAAGAUUAAGCACUCAAAAAAAUGUCAAAGUUGGUCUUAAAAAUCUGGCUGUGGUUAAUGGGAUCAGCUGCAUUUUUCUUUAAAAUGAUGUAACCCAUCUCCUCCACUUUACUUUUGCAUUUGACUUUCCAACUUCCACGCGAAGGAACAGCAUGUGGUUUACUUGUGGUCAUAUGUUACAUGUUACUUUGGUGCUUUACAACUUUCAAAAAGCUUUUAUACAACAGUGAUAUCAUCAGUUCCUCAGAUAACCCUGUGAUGUGGGUAGGUUGAUGGAUACUCUAUCAUCAUUUCCCAUAUGAGGAAAGAAGAGUAAAUAAGUUACACAACAUGGACGAGGUCACCCUGCACUUCAGAGGUGGAACCAAAUUCCAACAGAAGCAUUGAAUUUCUAGACGAGUUUUUGUUUGUUUUUUAUCUUUUCCAUCACACCAAGCCGCCUCUGUGAAGGAAAAUUGUAUGCAUCUCCCUAAUCCAACAUUUUUCAUGUUAAUUAUCCACUAAAUUACAGCCACGAUUUGGUAGUCUCAGUAGCUAUUCUGGUUUGAGGACAACUUUUUCCAAAUUUCCAUAUUUUUUCUACUACUUUAUCAUUUUCUUCUCUACUUGGAAUUCCAUACUUAACAUUCACAACAACACCCUCUUUUAUCUUUCUUCUUUCUUCCCUUUCUCUGUUUUUUUCUUUUUCUCCCUUUGUCUCUCCUCUUUUUAUCUCUGCCUUUCUCUCUCUCCUUUUUGUGUGUUUAUUUUUGUUUUAGUUUUAGAGACAGGGUCUUGUUAUGCUGCUUGGGCUGGUCUCAAACUCCUGGGCUCAAGCAAUCCUUCUGCCUUAGCCUCUCAAAGUGCUAGAUUAUAGGCAUGAGCUGUCAUGCCCAGCCUAGUUUUGUUUGUUGAUUGCAUACUGAAAGUAACACAUGACUGGAAUAUAAGAGAACUGAGUUUGAGAUAUUAUAAUUUCACAUAACCUCUGUAGGUCUCUGUUGUUUUAUCUCUAAAAUUGUUUUUUUUUAAAUAAUGAUUUUCUACACAAGUGAAGAAGACAGAAGGGAAAAUGGGAUUUUUGUGCUAAUCAAAAAUAAUAUGUGGUUAAAAAAAUUGAGGGCUACCUAAUUUGUAGGUUUUCUUAUUUUAAGUAAUAGAUGAUAGGAUCAAAUCCAGGUCUUCUGUCUACAAGUCAAAUAUUUAGGAAGCUGCUGGAUGCAGUGACUUGCAUCUGGAGAGGCUGAGGCAGGAGGAUCACUUAAGUCCAGGAGUUUGAGGCUACAGUGAGCUACAAUUGCUCCACUGCACUCCAGCCUGGGUGACAGAAGACUCCAUCUCUAAAACAAAAUAAAACAAAACCAAAAACAAACAAACAAACAAAAUUAUUUAGUGAUUUUAUUUUUUAGUGACUUUGUUAGCCUUACCAAUAAGUUACUUUUACUUUUUUUUUUUUUUUUUUUUUGAGACAGAGUCUCGCUCUGUCCCAGGCUGGAGUGCCGUGGUGUGGUCUUGGCUCACUGCAACCUCUGCCUCCCGUGUUCAAGCGAUUCUCCUACCUCAGCCUCCCGAGUAGCUGGGAUUACAGGUGGGUGCCACCACUCCUGGCUAAUUUUUGUAUUUUUAGUAGAGAUGGGGUUUCACCAUGUUGGCCAGGCCGGUCUCGAACUGCUGACCUCGCGAUCCUCCCACCUCAGCCUCCCAAAGUGCUGGGAUUACAGGCAUGAGCCACCACGCCCGGCACCAGUAAGUUAUUUUUAAUAUGAAAUUCCAAGACAGGAUAUACAAAAUUUAGGAAAGAAAGAAGCCAGAAUUUUAACAAGCUACUCCUGUCUUCACUAUUAUUAAUACCAGAUAAUUUCUCAUAUUGAUGGCAUUUUUUUCUUAGAAACUCUAAUCUAACAGUCAACAAAAAAACUACAAUAAGCAAAAGAGGAUAUGAGACGAUUAUUCUAGCAUUCUAUUUUUCUGGUUCUCUUUGUCAAGCUAAGCGUUAUGAGGUAAUGGGGGUGUUUGUUCUGACUGGAAAUGUGUUGCAUUUAGAUAUUAUAUACAAAGGUUUUUCCUGGAAUAACAUCGUUAUUUAGCUAAAAAGCUAUAGCUCCAUAGACUUGUGUGCUCUGAACACAGCUGCAUAAUUAGUAAUCAUCAUUAAUCAUUUCUACUUCUGUACUUUUAUCACCAACAAAAUUAUAGCAACCUAUAUUUUUAGUAAAUUUUAAUUGCAAGUUUAAUUUGAUAUUUAUUUAUCACUAUAAGAAGCAGUUUGCUGAACUGAUUACACAAAUUUAAAAUGAUGUUUCUGAAGAUAGAAAUAAAACUUCCCACCAGGAAUAAACAGACUUUUCAAAAGAAGAAUAUCUGCCUCUUGGCAAAAAAAAAAAAAAAAAAAAAAAAAAAAAAAAAAAAAAAAAAAAAAAAAAGAAAAGAAAAGAAAAAGAAAAAAAGAAAGGCUUUUAAGUUUUUUCCACCUUUAAUGUGAAAAUGAGUAUUCAUAUGGGAUGGCUUUAGACUACCUAUUAGAAAAUGCAUAUCAAGUAAGAGAUGUAUAAUUUAUAGAGUUGAUUGCUUUGAGCAGAGAAGCUUAAAAAGGAGUUUUUGCAGCUCAGGUUGUUCUCAAGAGGCAAACGUAUGCUCAUUAUUCAGAAUUGAAACCUGCCUGUGAAAUACACAACAAAAAGGAAAAGAAACUUAGAGAAAUGUUUGAGAGGUAAAAUGUUUUACCACUCUUGGAAAAAUUUUCUUGCUUCUUUUCUGUAAGAAGGAAUGAGAUAGUUGUUAACACUCUUGAAAACUAUCUUAGAGAGUGAGGCUUGAACAGUUGAGGUUUUCUCAUGGGACUGUGCACUGAUGUUUUGUGGUGCUGUAUCAGUAUCUCCAGGCUUUCUUAGGUGGACAGUUGAAUGGAUGUGUCAACAGAAGCUGAGAAAUGUUCUCUCAGCCAGGCUUAAGACAUGAAAAGAAAACGGCUUUCUUCAUUUACAAAAUUGAGCCACGAAUAGACUCAAGAACAAAAGCCUAACAAGGAAGAUGAAUAACAUAGAAUUAUCACUGUCACUUACAUUAUGUCCAGAAUAACUGGAUUACAAAAGGCAAGUAAUGUUGUGAACAGCCCGAGAUAUGUGAGGAAACUCUCUGAUGAAGGCCUAUGCCCAAAUGUCCUGAAAUGGAAAUCUGAGACCUGUGAGUACAAAAGUGCCCUGAAUGUUCUUAACUGGCAGGGUGAAGGCAAGGGGAUGGGGCAGUUUCUAAAGCAGCUAGAACCCUUCAAUCACAUGCAAGGAACUGGUAAUCUGAAAAAACAAACCACCAAGAAAGAGUACAGAUAAAUGUCAUAGCAAAUCAAAUGGAACAUGAUAAGCCAAGCUCUAUACUCCUAUUAGAACAGGAAGUUCCAAGGAGAGAUACCUUGACUUUUAAAUAGUCUGCAGACACAAGCAAUGCAUUCUUCACAGGUAUCUUAUUUCCUGUUUUUGUUUUGUUUUGUUUUUGAGUUUUUAGUAUUUAUUUUAAUGUUUUUGAAAGAGAUACAUUUUUUCCAAUUUAAAAAGAAAGAGACAUGGCCAUCAAGAGUAGGUUAACAUAUAGCAGAAUACCAUAUAAAUGAAUUAGCUGCUAGCUACAAGCAGCAACUUGGAUGAAUCUUAAAAACAUAACAUUGGGGCUGGGCACAGUGGCUCAUGCCUGUAAUCCCAGCACUUUGGGAGGCUGAGGCGGGCAGAUCACGAAGUCAGGAGAUUGAGACCCUCCUGGCUAACACGGUGAAACCCCGUCUCUACUAAAAAUACAAAAACAAAAUUAGCUGGGCGUGGUGGUGGGUGCCUGUAGUCCCAGCUACUCGGAAGGCUGAGGCAGGAGAAUCACUUGAACCCAGGAGGCAGAGCUUGUAGUGAGCCAAGAUCACGCCACUGCACUCCAGCCUGGGCAACAGAGGGAGACUCUGUCUCAAGAAACAAACAAACAUAACAUUGGACAAAAACACAUCACAGUACAGUAUGUAUAAUAUAGUACCAUCUGUACAAAGGUCAAAGCAGGUAAAAUUAAACAAUAUAUUAUCAGGAAUCCAUAAAUAAGUAGUAAAGCUAUAAAGAAAAUCAAGGAACAAGUACCAUAAAUUUCAGGAUUGCUCUUAGUGGCGGGGAGAAGGAGAUGUGAUCAAGGAGGGCACAAAGGUGUCAAAUACUGGCAGUGUUUUGUUACUUAACGCUGCUGGUAGGAGCCUGAGUAUUCAUUUUAUUAUCUUUACACCAAUUAUAAAUGCUGUCAUCUACUUCUUUAAAUGUAUGAUUUGUAAGUUUGUUUCCUCAAAAAAGAUGAGUGAAGUUUCAAAAUUUUAUUUCAUUUAUUGAGAUCCAAGUAUCCCUAUUUUCUGAGGGUGGCCUUUAUCCAGAGACACCUAUGAAGAAACCCAACAUGCAGAGUUUGCAGAUCCAUAGACAAUGCUGCCAAAGUGUAAAAAAUAAAUAAAAUAAGAUAAAAAUCCGAAAAAAAUUAUUUUUUUUAAAGUUGGUAUCCAUAUAUAUGAACUGACACUCAAGGCCUUUUGCAACCUGAACCCAAUCUUUCUUUCUAAGCAGAUGGUAUCCCAGAACUUCCCAGUGGGACCUUUUCCUUGUUAAAUGUUAUUCCCUGGCCAAGCCUUACGUUUCCCAUGUUUGUGCUGUGAUUAUCUCAUUCCAUUUACCUGCAUUUCCCACCCUCUUGCUGAUUGGCCAUCUUAGUUUGACCUUUUCUGGGAAGCCACCUCCGUAACCUUUGUCUGAAGUGCUCUGGCUCUCUUGAGCUCUCAACAACUGCCAAUUUAAUUCUCCUAGCAGUUAAUCUUGGGUGCCCUGUAACAACUGCAUUUUCACCAACCAAACCCCUUUCCCUCCUGGGCAGAGAGCUUGACUUUAUUUUCUGUCUUCCCAUGCAGGUAGAUGUGAUUGAGUUCUAUCUACCAGAAGCAUAUGCCUCCUGGAAGCCUGGUUCUAACACCUCCCACAAAAUCCUUCAAGCGCUUUUUUCUGUUCCAAUGUUUGCUUAUGGGGGACCCAGUGAAGUGCUUCAGAGCCCUAGAGAUAUGCUGAGUCAUAUGAGGGGUCAGCAAACUUUUCCUGUAAAGGGUCAGAUAAUAAACAUUUUAAGCUUUGUAGACUGUA